rnacentral:rRNA from 1 species
CACGUAGGGCGCAAGCGUUGUCCGGAAUUAUUGGGCGUAAAGAGCUCGUAGGUGGUUUGCUGCGUCCGCUGUGAAAACCCAAGGCUUAACCUUGGGCUUGCAGUGGAUACGGGCAGACUAGAGGUAGGUAGGGGAGAAUGGAAUUCCCGGUGUAGCGGUGAAAUGCGCAGAUAUCGGGAGGAACACCGGUGGCGAAGGCGGUUCUCUGGGCCUGGUCUGACGCUGAGGAGCGAAAGCGUGGGGAGCGAACAGG